UAGGGAAUCUUCGGCAAUGGGGGCAACCCUGACCGAGCAACGCCGCGUGAGUGAAGAAGGUUUUCGGAUCGUAAAGCUCUGUUGUAAGUCAAGAACGAGUGUGAGAGUGGAAAGUUCACACUGUGACGGUAGCUUACCAGAAAGGGACGGCUAACUACGUGCCAGCAGCCGCGGUAAUACGUAGGUCCCGAGCGUUGUCCGGAUUUAUUGGGCGUAAAGCGAGCGCAGGCGGUUUGAUAAGUCUGAAGUUAAAGGCUGUGGCUCAACCAUAGUUCGCUUUGGAAACUGUCAAACUUGAGUGCAGAAGGGGAGAGUGGAAUUCCAUGUGUAGCGGUGAAAUGCGUAGAUAUAUGGAGGAACACCGGUGGCGAAAGCGGCUCUCUGGUCUGUAACUGACGCUGAGGCUCGAAAGCGUGGGGAGCGAACAGGAUUAGAUACCCUGGUAGUCCACGCCGUAAACGAUGAGUGCUAGGUGUUGGAUCCUUUCCGGGAUUCAGUGCCGCAGCUAGCGCAUUAAGCACUCCGCCUGGGGAGUACGACCGCAAGGUUG
rnacentral:rRNA from 1 species